rnacentral:misc_RNA from 1 species
AAAAAAAAUAAUAAUAAUAAUAAUAAUAACUAGGCAGUUAUCAUAGUUUAAGUUAUUUUACUUCUUUUAAUACAUUUUUUUGAAUAUUUUAUUUUGAUGGACUUAUGAGAUAAUUUUACACUCGCUCUUCAACUACCUAAAUUCACCUCCGACACAGAAUCUUUCGGUCAAGAAAACUGUUGGCCGCCAAAAUCUACAAUAGUCAAUAGGAAGAUGGAAGCAUAUGAGCAACUUUAGCUAUGAAUAUGAUGAUGUCUCAUCAUCGGCAUUGGCAUUGGCAUUGGCAUUGGUGUCGGCAUCGGCUUCGGCAUCGGCAUCGGCGUCGGCAUUGGCAUUGUCAGUCGCCUGUCUAGCAGAAAUCACCUUGUCAAGUGUUUGGUCAGGGACAGUGAUUCCAGCAGUCUCCAAGUCUGCAACAAUGGCAAUUGCUGCAUCUAGUUCCCCAAGGUCGAUACACAAGGUGAUUACUUCAUCAUAAAGAGGACUCCCAAAUGCAUAACCUAGACUAUGUGUUGUCUGCAGGAUUUUCAAGAAAGCUGAAGGCAU